CAGUAGCCGCGGGAAUACGGAGGGAGCUAGCGUUGUUCGGAAUUACUGGGCGUAAAGCGCGCGUAGGCGGUUACUCAAGUCAGAGGUGAAAGCCCGGGGCUCAACCCCGGAACUGCCUUUGAAACUAGGUGACUAGAAUCUUGGAGAGGUCAGUGGAAUUCCGAGUGUAGAGGUGAAAUUCGUAGAUAUUCGGAAGAACACCAGUGGCGAAGGCGACUGACUGGACAAGUAUUGACGCUGAGGUGCGAAAGCGUGGGGAGCAAACAGGAUUAGAUACCCGAGUAGUCCCUGUCUCUUAUAU
rnacentral:rRNA from 1 species